GAGUUUGAUCAUGGCUCAGAUUGAACGCUGGCGGCAGGCUUAACACAUGCAAGUCGAGCGGAAACGAUGAUAGCUUGCUAUCAGGCGUCGAGCGGCGGACGGGUGAGUAAUACUUAGGAAUCUACCUAGUAGUGGGGGAUAGCUCGGGGAAACUCGAAUUAAUACCGCAUACGUCCUACGGGAGAAAGGGGGCAACUUGUUGCUCUCGCUAUUAGAUGAGCCUAAGUCGGAUUAGCUAGAUGGUGGGGUAAAGGCCUACCAUGGCGACGAUCUGUAGCUGGUCUGAGAGGAUGAUCAGCCACACCGGGACUGAGACACGGCCCGGACUCCUACGGGAGGCAGCAGUGGGGAAUAUUGGACAAUGGGGGGAACCCUGAUCCAGCCAUGCCGCGUGUGUGAAGAAGGCCUUUUGGUUGUAAAGCACUUUAAGCAGUGAAGAAGACUCUUCGGUUAAUACCCGGGGACGAUGACAUUAGCUGCAGAAUAAGCACCGGCUAACUCUGUGCCAGCAGCCGCGGUAAUACAGAGGGUGCAAGCGUUAAUCGGAAUUACUGGGCGUAAAGCGAGCGUAGGUGGCUUGAUAAGUCAGAUGUGAAAUCCCCGGGCUUAACCUGGGAACUGCAUCUGAAACUGUUAGGCUAGAGUAGGUGAGAGGGAAGUAGAAUUUCAGGUGUAGCGGUGAAAUGCGUAGAGAUCUGAAGGAAUACCGAUGGCGAAGGCAGCUUCCUGGCAUCAUACUGACACUGAGGCUCGAAAGCGUGGGUAGCAAACAGGAUUAGAUACCCUGGUAGUCCACGCCGUAAACGAUGUCUACUAGUCGUUGGGUCCCUUGAGGACUUAGUGACGCAGCUAACGCAAUAAGUAGACCGCCUGGGGAGUACGGCCGCAAGGUUAAAACUCAAAUGAAUUGACGGGGGCCCGCACAAGCGGUGGAGCAUGUGGUUUAAUUCGAUGCAACGCGAAGAACCUUACCUGGUCUUGACAUACACAGAAUCUUGUAGAGAUACGAGAGUGCCUUCGGGAAUUGUGGUACAGGUGCUGCAUGGCUGUCGUCAGCUCGUGUCGUGAGAUGUUGGGUUAAGUCCCGCAACGAGCGCAACCCUUGUCCUUAGUUACCAGCACUUCGGGUGGGAACUCUAAGGAUACUGCCAGUGACAAACUGGAGGAAGGCGGGGACGACGUCAAGUCAUCAUGGCCCUUACGACCAGGGCUACACACGUGCUACAAUGGUAGGUACAGAGGGCAGCUACACAGCGAUGUGAUGCGAAUCUCAAAAAGCCUAUCGUAGUCCAGAUUGGAGUCUGCAACUCGACUCCAUGAAGUAGGAAUCGCUAGUAAUCGCG
rnacentral:rRNA from 1 species